rnacentral:rRNA from 1 species
AGUGAACGCUGGCGGUAGGCCUAACACAUGCAAGUCGAACGGCAGCACAGUAAGAGCCUGCUCUUACGGGUGGCGAGUGGCGGACGGGUGAGGAAUACAUCGGAAUCUACUUUUUCGUGGGGGAUAACGUAGGGAAACUUACGCUAAUACCGCAUACGACCUACGGGUGAAAGCAGGGGAUCUUCGGACCUUGCGCGAUUGAAUGAGCCGAUGUCGGAUUAGCUAGUUGGCGGGGUAAAGGCCCACCAAGGCGACGAUCCGUAGCUGGUCUGAGAGGAUGAUCAGCCACACUGGAACUGAGACACGGUCCAGACUCCUACGGGAGGCAGCAGUGGGGAAUAUUGGACAAUGGGCGCAAGCCUGAUCCAGCCAUACCGCGUGGGUGAAGAAGGCCUUCGGGUUGUAAAGCCCUUUUGUUGGGAAAGAAAAGCAGCAGGUUAAUACCCCGCUGUUCUGACGGUACCCAAGAAUAAGCACCGGCUAACUUCGUG